rnacentral:lncRNA from 1 species
CUGGACCGAACUAUACUAGCACGGAACGAUACUGUACUAUAGCCCAAAAAAGGAAUGGAGCCAUAUACUUGUGAACAGCCUGAAAGACUACCACAAGAUGUAACAGAAAUGGGCUAUCCAUUAUCACAAACACUGUUAGUUCCAUCUUCCUUAGUAAGAAGGUAUAGCUGGUAUUCAAGGCAGCAACGUGCCCACGAGGAAU